rnacentral:rRNA from 1 species
GCAGUAGAACGCUGAAGAGAGGAGCUUGCUCUUCUUGGAUGAGUUGCGAACGGGUGAGUAACGCGUAGGUAACCUGCCUUGUAGCGGGGGAUAACUAUUGGAAACGAUAGCUAAUACCGCAUAACAAUGGAUGACACAUGUCAUUUAUUUGAAAGGGGCAAUUGUUCCACUACAAGAUGGACCUGCGUUGUAUUAGCUAGUAGGUGAGGUAAUGGCUCACCUAGGCGACGAUACAUAGCCGACCUGAGAGGGUGAUCGGCCACACUGGGACUGAGACACGGCCCAGACUCCUACGGGAGGCAGCAGUAGGGAAUCUUCGGCAAUGGGGGCAACCCUGACCGAGCAACGCCGCGUGAGUGAAGAAGGUUUUCGGAUCGUAAAGCUCUGUUGUAAGUCAAGAACGGGUGUGAGAGUGGAAAGUUCACACUGUGACGGUAGCUUACCAGAAAGGGACGGCUAACUACGUGCCAGCAGCCGCGGUAAUACGUAGGUCCCGAGCGUUGUCCGGAUUUAUUGGGCGUAAAGCGAGCGCAGGCGGUUUGAUAAGUCUGAAGUUAAAGGCUGUGGCUCAACCAUAGUUCGCUUUGGAAACUGUCAAACUUGAGUGCAGAAGGGGAGAGUGGAAUUCCAUGUGUAGCGGUGAAAUGCGUAGAUAUAUGGAGGAACACCGGUGGCGAAAGCGGCUCUCUGGUCUGUAACUGACGCUGAGGCUCGAAAGCGUGGGGAGCGAACAGGAUUAGAUACCCUGGUAGUCCACGCCGUAAACGAUGAGUGCUAGGUGUUGGAUCCUUUCCGGGAUUCAGUGCCGCAGCUAACGCAUUAAGCACUCCGCCUGGGGAGUACGACCGCAAGGUUGAAACUCAAAGGAAUUGACGGGGGCCCGCACAAGCGGUGGAGCAUGUGGUUUAAUUCGAAGCAACGCGAAGAACCUUACCAGGUCUUGACAUCCCGAUGCUAUUUCUAGAGAUAGAAAGUUACUUCGGUACAUCGGUGACAGGUGGUGCAUGGUUGUCGUCAGCUCGUGUCGUGAGAUGUUGGGUUAAGUCCCGCAACGAGCGCAACCCCUAUUGUUAGUUGCCAUCAUUCAGUUGGGCACUCUAGCGAGACUGCCGGUAAUAAACCGGAGGAAGGUGGGGAUGACGUCAAAUCAUCAUGCCCCUUAUGACCUGGGCUACACACGUGCUACAAUGGUUGGUACAACGAGUUGCGAGUCGGUGACGGCGAGCUAAUCUCUUAAAGCCAAUCUCAGUUCGGAUUGUAGGCUGCAACUCGCCUACAUGAAGUCGGAAUCGCUAGUAAUCGCGGAUCAGCACGCCGCGGUGAAUACGUUCCCGGGCCUUGUACACACCGCCCGUCACACCACGAGAGUUUGUAACACCCGAAGUCGGUGAGGUAACCUUUUGGAGCCAGCCGCCUAAG